rnacentral:misc_RNA from 1 species
GAGAUAAGUGCCACCUUGAAGCCAAAGACUGAGAAUUUGGUAUGCCACUAGUUGUGAGCCUCAAAAAUCUUGAACUGCAGUUCAUGGGAUACAUCUCAGACAAAACAUCCCGCUCAAGAUCAACAUCAAUUGGUCUUGGUAGAACCUUAGAGUCAAGGCCGGAAUCAAAUGAUCCUGGAACAGACCCAAUUGAGAAGGAACUGAAGUCUUCCACCAAACCUUGCAUAGCAGAUGUAGGAGGCAUAGAUCCUGGACGUUGAGAUGUUAGAGGUGGUGGUGGUGGUGCAAACCCUCCUUGUUGAGAAAGAUAGGGGCUAGAAGCUGCUGGCACUGGUGGAACAUAGCCGCCAGGCUGAGAAGGAAAUGGUACUGAUUGUCUAGGGGGAGCUUGUGCAAACCCUGAAGGUUGCUGACUUAUAUAUCCUGGAAAACCAGAUUGAAAGCCAGGUCUAGCAGCAGGAUAAGCUGAACCUGCUAAAGGGGAAGAUGGCUGUGAGGUUGCUCUGGCAGCAGAAAACUGGGACUGCAUGGGACCCUGAUAAACAUUUGGACUAGGCUGCACUGUACUUGCACCUUGAGGAGGCGAUCCCAUCGGAACAGUAGGAGGUUGGAUUUGUGGAUGAUGGGCACCAGGAGGUGUUGAGAAAGGCCCUGAAACAGGUCUAACAGGGGCUGCUACAACCGGCUGCCCCGGCAUCGAAGUGCGUGGAGGUGGUACCUGAGCUGUAGAAGGAAACUGCGGUGAGGGGAAACGUGGGAAAGGGCCAGAGACUGUCGGCCCAUAUGGAGGUGUUGAUGUUGGAGGUGGCCUCCCUGCAUCAUUAGGCAUCCCGGGUGGCAUCGGUCUAAAAGAAGAUAUCCCUGGUCCAACCAUGGGUCCAGAUGAGGAAGGAGGUGGCAUAGCCGGAGAAGAAGUAGGAGGAGCAGGCCGAAAAGCAGAAGCAUCAGAUCCAACCACUGGACGAGAUGAUUGAAAAGGAGUAGUACUCUGCGGAACACCAAAAGGUGUAGCAGCAGGCCUUGAGGGAAAGGUUGGCCGAUUGGGAUAUUCGGUGCCCAUGGUCACAAAGGACCGCUUCCUGAUUAAAGAUCUCGCCGAUAAGGCCGCCGGCAAAAGUGGAGUCGAAGUUGAGAGAAACAGCGAUCAGUCGCAGAGAGGUCGAAGCGAUGGGUUAAACCGCAGGCGAGUGUUGAGGAGUUAAAAGUUGGGCAUAUAACAUAAGUCUUUUUU